GGCUCGGUAGCUUAGUUGGUAAAGCGCUCGUCUAGCAUACAAGAGUCCCGGGUUCAAAUCCCAGCCGAGCAC
rnacentral:tRNA from 1 species